rnacentral:rRNA from 1 species
GGUAAGCGGAACUCUCGGAGUAGCGGUGAAAUGCGUAGAGACCGAGAGGUACCCCGAUGGUGAAGACAGCUUACUGGGCGUCUCCUGACGCUGAAGCGCUAAGGCCAGGGGAGCAAAGGGGAUUAGAUACCCCCGUAGUCCUGGCUUCAAACGAUGUGGGCUUGGUGUCGGCCCCCUAUAGAGGGUCGUUGCCGGAGUUAACGCGUUAAGCCCACCGCCUGGGGAUUACGUCCGCAAGGAUGAAACUCAAGGGAAUUGACGGGGGCCCACACAACCGGUGGAGCACGUGGUUUAAUUCGACGAUAAGCGAAGAACCUUACCAGGGCUUGACCAGCGGUAGUAGAACCCCGAAAGGGGAACGACCUCAAGCUUUGCUUGAGGAGCCGUGGCAGGUAUUGCAUGGCUGUCGUCAGCUCGUGUCGUGGGACGUUGGGUUAAGUCCCGUAACGAGCGCAACCCCUGCCCUUAAUUGCCAGCGGGUAAUGCCGGGUACUAUAAGGGGACUGCCGGAGAAUAUCCGGAGGAAGGAGGGGACGACGUCAAGUCAUUAUGAUCCUUAUGCUCUGGGCGACACACGUGCUACAAUGGGCACUACAAUGAGGAGCAAAUCCGCAAGGACGAGCAAAUCUCAAAAAGGUGCCCCCAGUGCGGAUUGGGGUCUGCAACUCGACCCCAUGAAGAUGGAAUCGGUAGUAAUCGC